UCCGGUUUAUCACCAGCAGUCUCCCUAAAGUACCCAACUUAAUGAUGGUAACUAGGGACAAGGGUUGCGCUCGUUGCGGGACUUAACCCAACAUCUCACGACACGAGCUGACGACAGCCAUGCAGCACCUGUGUAACAGUCCCUUGCGGGCCUACGACAUCUCUGCCGUAUUCCAUUACAUUUCUAACCCAGGUAAGGUUCUUCGCGUUGCAUCGAAUUAAACCACAUACUCCACCGCUUGUGCGGGCCCCCGUCAAUUCUUUUGAGUUUUAGCCUUGCGGCCGUACUCCCCAGGCGGAUAACUUAACGUGUGUACUACGAUACUGCGGGGGUCAACUCCCACAACAUCUAGUUAUCAUCGUUUACGGCGUGGACUAC
rnacentral:misc_RNA from 1 species